rnacentral:rRNA from 1 species
UACGUAGGGGGCUAGCGUUGUCCGGAAUCAUUGGGCGUAAAGAGCGUGUAGGCUGCUCAGUAAGUCCGCUGUAAAAGUCAAAGGCUCAACCUUUGAAAGCCGAUGGAUACUGCCGGGCUAGAGUCCGGAAGAGGCGAGUGGAAUUCCUGGUGUAGCGGUGGAAUGCGCAGAUAUCAGGAGGAACACCGAUAGCGAAGGCAGCUCGCUGGGACGGUACUGACGCUAAGGCGCGAAAGCGUGGGGAGCGAACAGG